UCGCAGCAUACUAAAUGUAUGCUACGAGAGUCACGCUUUAAGUGGUCAGAGUAUAGACUAUUUAGAAUUUGGGUUUGAGA